UACGUAGGGGGCAAGCGUUGUUCGGAGUUACUGGGCGUAAAGGGUGCGUAGGCGGUUGUUUAAGUUUGGUGUGAAAUCUCCCGGCUCAACUGGGAGGGUGCGCCGAAUACUGAAUGACUAGAGUGCGGGAGAGGAGAGUGGAAUUCCUGGUGUAGCGGUGAAAUGCGUAGAUAUCAGGAGGAACACCAGUGGCGAAGGCGAUCAUCUGGGGCUGUUCUGACGCUGAGGAGCGAAAGCUAGGGGAGCAAACGGG
rnacentral:rRNA from 1 species